AUUCCGCCCUGGGGAGUACGUUCGCAAGAGUUAAAACUCAAAGGAAUUGACGGGGGCCCGCUACAACGGUGGAGCAUGUGGUUUAAUUCGAAGCAAACGCGGCAGAAACCUUACCAACCCUUUGGACAUCCUAGGACCGGCCCAGAGAUGGUUCUUUCACUUCGGUGACCUAGUGACAGGUGCUGCAUGGCUUGUCGUCAGCUCGUGUCGUGAGAUGUUCGGUUAAGUCCGGCAACGAGCGCAACCCACGUUCCUUAGUUGGCCANCAGUUCGGCUGGGCACUCUAAGGAAACUGCCCGUGAUAAGCGGGAGGAAGGUGUGGAUGACGUCAAGUCCUCAUGGCCCUUACGGGUUGGGCUACACACGUGCUACAAUGGCAGUGACAAUGGGUUAAUCCCAAAAAGCUGUCUCAGUUCGGAUUGGGGUCUGCAACUCGACCCCAUGAAGUCGGAAUCGCUAGUAAUCGCGUAACAGCAUGACGCGGUGAAUACGUUCCCGGGCCUUGUACACACCGCCCGUCACACCAUGGGAGUUGGUUCUACCCGACGGC
rnacentral:rRNA from 1 species